AUACGUAGGGUGCGAGCGUUGUCCGGAAUUACUGGGCGUAAAGAGCUCGUAGGUGGUUUGUCGCGUCGUCUGUGAAAUUCCGGGGCUUAACUCCGGGCGUGCAGGCGAUACGGGCAUAACUUGAGUACUGUAGGGGAGACUGGAAUUCAUGGUGUAGCGGUGAAAUGCGCGGAUAUCAGGAGGAACGCCGGUGGCGAAGGCGGGUCUCUGGGCAGAAACUGACGCUGAGGCGCGAAAGCAUGGGGAGCGAACAGGAUUAGAUACCCUGGUAGUCCAUGCCGUAAACGGUGGGCGCUAGGUGUAGGGGUAUGCGACGACUUCUGUGCCGUAGCUAACGCAUUAAGUGCCCCGCCUGGGGAGUACGGCCGCAAGGCUAAAACUCAAAGGAAUUGACGGGG
rnacentral:rRNA from 1 species